GUCAGAUAAAGUAAUCCUUCAAUAUUCCCACAACGGGGAAAUUUGCAAGAUUAUCUUUUACCAACUGCAGUAAAUGAGUGUGACUGCAGAGGCCGAGGAGAACAAGACUAAGUCAGUUACUGAGGUUACAGGUCCUCCGACGUUCUCACUGAGCCGUGAAACGAGAAUCCUCAGAUUCAUCAUGAGGCUCACUGAGGAUCCGGACGAGCCGCCAGCGCCUCACCUAUGAAGUCAUUGGAGCGUCCGAGGUCGUAGUCCCACACCGUCACCUCCAGAGUCUUGUUGCAGGACACCAGGUGAAGAACAUUCUCUGUAAUGAGGUCCCAGAUGUGGAGCUGAUGUGGAGCUCAGGGUCGGCGCUGGACAUGCCGGGGCACCUGGGAGAUCUUACCUCGUUGAAUUCAGGGUUGAGGGUCUUUU